UACGUAGGGGGCGAGCGUUGUCCGGAUUUAUUGGGCGUAAAGCGCGCGUAGGCGGACCUGCAAGUCGGGGGUGAAAGCCCGAGGCUCAACCUCGGAACUGCCUUCGAUACUGCGGGUCUCGAGUCCGGGAGAGGUGAGUGGAAUUCCUAGUGUAGAGGUGAAAUUCGUAGAUAUUCGCAAGAACACCAGUGGCGAAGGCGGCUCACUGGCCCGGUACUGACGCUGAGGCACGAAAGCGUGGGGAGCAAACAGG
rnacentral:rRNA from 1 species